GUACAAAGUUGCCCAAUUUUAUUUGAAACCACACUGUAUGUUAAAGUCAAAAUGUAGACCUCCAAGUCACAUGUGGCAGCACAUGCCUGUAAUCCAGUGACCCGGGAGGCUGAGAUGAGGAUCACAAGAUCAGCCUAUGCAACUUAGUGAGACCCUUGUCUCAAAAUUUAAAAAUGACAAGGGCUGGGAAUUUAGCUCAGUGGUAUAGUAUUCCUGGGUUUGAUCCCCAGUAUAUCUCCCCCCAAUACACACACAAAGAUAAAGCUCCAGCAAUUUCCAGGUUUCACGGGUGUUUCAGUUGACUCUGGGUUAAAAAUCUAGGUUACUCAAGUCUCAUAUUAUUGGUCCUUAGUAGAAGGGAUCUGGAUUUAGUAUCAGUUUCAAUUAUAAAUGACUAAUACCUUGGACAAGUUACCUGACUUACCUGAGUCUUAGUUUCUUCAUCUGGAAACCACUUCCUGGUAUGUGGGUGACACACAAUAAACGUUUGGGUCCUUUCUCAUGAUGCUCUCCUGUCAGCAAUCCAAUCAGCUGGACUUUGGUUCCUCUUGAUUAGAACAGUGACUUUCCAAUGUGGAGGACUAUUCUGGAUAAAAGUCUGUUGUCUUUCUCUCCCUUUUAUAGGUCCCUUACCUGUCUUUUGGACAUAGACCCUAUCAUAUCCAACAUUUCUGUUAUUUACUCCAAAGGGUUAUCAAGAAUGAGUUCAAACCUGCGAUCCUCCUGCCUGAGCCUCCUGAGUGGCUAGAAUUACAGACAUGCAACAAAAUCCAUAUUUUAACAAGAUUUCCAGGUGAUUCAUCUGUAAGAUAAAAUUUGUGAAGUGCUGGUCUAAAUGGUAUUUCUGGAUCAAAAAACAUUUACAUUUAAAAUACACUCAAAAAUCUCUCUGUAGAUAAGUGGCACCAAUUCAUAUCCCCAACACAGAUGCUUGAUUCCCCCCUCUCCCACCAAACUUAGAUCUUACCGAUAUUUUUCCUCUUUAGUUAUCUUAUUUUAAUUUACAUUUUUGAUUAUCAGUGAAACUAGACAUCUUUUAACAUGCUAACUGGUUACUUGUUAUGCUUCUUUUUAAAAAAAUAUUUUUAUUAGUUGUUGAUGGCCACCAUUUUACUUGUUUAUUUAUAAUGCAGUGCUGAGAUUCUAACCCAGUGCCUCACACAUGCUAGGAAAGUGCUCUACCACUGAGCCACAACCCCAUGCCCUUUGUUAUGCUUCUUUUCUGAAUUGCUCUUUGCAUGUUUUUCCAUUAAGGUGUUUGUCUUUUUCUUAGAAGUUAUUAGAUCUCUUUGGAUAUUAGGAAUAUAAACCUUUUAGUCAUACAAUAUAUUGCAACUCUAUCAUUUGUUGACUUUAUCCUCAUUCAGCCAUUAUUUUAUAUUUUUAAUUAAUUAAUUAAUUUUGUAGUUGUAGAUGGACAGAAUGCCUUAUUUUGUUAUUUUUAUGUGGUGCUGAGGAUCGAACCCAGUGCCUCACACAUGCUAGGCAAGUUCUCUGCCACUGAGCUACAGCCCCAGCCCUUACAUUUUUAAAAAAUCUAUUUUUUAGUUGUAGGUGGACAUAAAACCUUUAGUUUUUUUUAGUUGUCAAUGGACUUUAUUUAUUUAUAUGUGGUGCUGAGACUUGAACCCAGUGCCUCACACAUACUAGGCAAGUGCUCCACCACUGAGCCACAACCCCAGCCCCCAAUACCUUUAUUUUUAUGUGGUGCUGAGGAUUGAACCCAGUGCCUCGCGCUCACUAGGUGAGCACUCUACCACUAAGCCCACCACCCCAGCCCAAAAUUUUACAUUUUUAUAUAGUAAAAUUUAAAAAUCUCUUCACUUUGAACCCACUCUAAGAUUAAUAAAAUUGUCACAUAUUUCUUAA